UCCUUGCUCUGCUCCUUAACUGUGUUUGAUGUUCUUUGCAGGUUUGUCACGUUGUACCCAGGAGAUGUCUUCCUGACUGGGACCCCACCAGGGGUCGGAGUUUUCCGGAAGCCACCCACUUUCCUGAAGAGAGGAGACGAAGUGCAGUGUGAAAUUGAUGAGCUGGGAACCAUCUGCAAUCAAGUGGUGUGAAGGUUUUUUCCUGCUGUGGGCCCUGGACAAAACCAUUGGCUGGAGUUGUAAAGUGCCUUCCUUGAUUCUAAUCCAGGAGUAUAAAUAAGGAAGUUUCUUCCCAUGCUUUUGAGUUGCCGGAACCUGCUGGAAUUAUUGCUUGCCAAGCAUCGCAAAUGGGAGCAGAAGUCAAAACUAUCAUGCAAACGCUACCCAUAAUUUCUGGGCACCUUAGUUGAAACAAAGACAAAAUGGGCGAGUGAUGAUGCCCUUUAGUGAGACCCAUUCACGUUUACACCAGAGCAAGACGGACUGAGGUUGGCACAUGUAUCUCCUUUAUUACUUCCAGGUUCCCCAGAUGAUGGAUUCAGAAUAAAGCCAUUUUUGACCAACUUUGAGAUUGGCACCUG